rnacentral:rRNA from 1 species
AGUCUGGUGCCAGCAGCCGCGGUAAUUCCAGCUCCAAUAGGAUAUAUCAAAGUUGUUGCAGUUAAAAAGCUCGUAGUUGAAUUUCUGGAAGGUAGAAGAGUUUUUUUUAGAGAAGCAAUUUUUAUGAAAGACACCGCUUUCCAUUUUGUGGAUUUCUGUUUUGUAUGAAGAUAGUUUACUCUAUUUUUGUAUAAAAUACCACUCCGUCACUGAGAGCAAAUUGGAGUGCUCAAAGCAGGCUUUAUUAGCUUUGAACAUUUUAGCUUGGAAUGACAAGAUAUGACUUUUGUUUUAUUUUGUUGGUUAUGAAAUAAAAGUAAUGAUUAACAGGAACAGUUGCGGGGGUACUCGUAUUGAAAGGUCAGAGGUGAAAUUCUUGGAUUCUUUCAAGACGAACGACUGCGAAAGCAUUUACCAAGGAUGUUUUCAUUAAUCAAGAACGAAAGCUCGGGGAUCGAAGAUGAUUAGAUACCAUCGUAGUCCGACGCCAUAAACGAUGCCGACUCGGGAUUAUUUUGUUAGUUUAAAAUAAAAAAGAACACAAAGUAGCACCGUAUGAGAAAUCAAAGUCUUUGGGUUCCGGGGGGAGUAUGGUCGCAAGGCUGAAACUUAAAGGAAUUGACGGAAGGGCACACCAGAGGUGGAGCCUGCGGUUUAAUUUGACCAACACGGGGAAACUUACCAGGUCCAGACAUGAUGAGGAUUGACAGUUUGAAAGCACUUUCUUGAUUUCAUGGGUGGUGGUGCAUGGCCGUUCUUAGUUGGUGGAGUGAUUUGUCUGGUUGAUUCCGAUAACGAACGAGACGGGGUGAAUUUACUAGUUUGUUAUAUAAUUUACGUUAUAUAAGACUUCUUUAUUCGACAACUUGGUUUUACCAAGAGGAAGCGCCCCGCAAUAACAGGUCUGUGAUGCCCUUAGAUGUUCUGGGCUACACGCGCGCUACAAUGACGAAUUCAACGAGUUUAAAAUUAAUUCCUUAUCCGGAAGGAUGUGGGUAAUCUUUUCAAUAUUCGUCGUGAUGGGGCUAGAUUUUUGCAAUUAUUAAUCUUCAACGAGGAAUCUCUAGUAUGUGCAAGUCAUCAGCUUGCGCAGAAUGCGUCCCUGCCCUUUGUUCACACCGCCCGUCGCACCUACCGAUUGGACGAUCCGGCAAGAUGUUUGGAGUUGUUUUGAUUGUAGAGUAAUUUAUGAUGAAAAUGACAAAGCUCUUCAAACCUUAUCGUCUAGAGGAAGGUGAAGUCGUAACAAGGUCUCCGUAGGUGAACCUGCGGAGG